CCGGUCUCAGUUCGGAUCGCAGUCUGCAACUCGACUGCGUGAAGGUGGAGUCGCUAGUAAUCGCGGAUCAGCAACGCCGCGGUGAAUGCGUUCCCGGGCCUUGUACACACCGCCCGUCAAGUCAUGAAAGUGGGCAGCACCCGAAGACGGUGGCCUAACCCUUGUGGGGGGAGCCGUCUAAGGUGAGGCUCGUGAUUGGGACUAAGUCGUAACAAGGUACC
rnacentral:rRNA from 1 species